rnacentral:rRNA from 1 species
AUUGAACGCUGGCGGCAGGCCUAACACAUGCAAGUCGAGCGGAGCGGCGGACGGGUGAGUAAUGCCUAGGAAUCUGCCUGGUAGUGGGGGGUAACGUCCGGAAACGGGCGCUAAUACCGCAUACUAUCAGAUGAGCCAGGGUCGGAUUAGCUAGUUGGUGGGGUAAAGGCCUACGAAGGCGACGAUCCGUAACUGGUCUGAGAGGAGGAUCAGUCACACUGAAACUGAGACACGGUCCAGACUCCUCCGGAAGGCAGGAGUGGGGAAUAUUGAACAAUGAGCGAAAGCCUGAUCCAGCCAUGCCGGGUGUGUGAAGAAGGUCUUCGGAUUGUAAAGCACUUUAAGUUGGGAGGCGUUACCAACAAAAAAGGCACCGGCUAACUUCGUGCAAGCGGCCGCGGUAAUA